rnacentral:rRNA from 1 species
GGGGGAAUUGUUCGCAAUGGGCGCAAGCCUGACGACGCAACGCCGCGUGGAGGAUGAAGAAUUUCGGUUCGUAAACUCCUUUCGACCGAGAUGAACACCUCGCGAUCUAAUACAUCGCGGGGCUGACAGUAUCGAGAGAAGAAGCCCCGGCUAACUCUGUGCCAGCAGCCGCGGUAAUACAGGGGGGGCAAGCGUUGUUCGGAAUUACUGGGCGUAAAGGGUUCGUAGGUGGCCGACUAAGUCAGACGUGAAAUCCCUCAGCUUAACUGGGGAACUGCGUCUGAUACUGGUUGGCUUGAGUGCAGGAGAGGAACGCGGAAUUCCAGGUGUAGCGGUGAAAUGCGUAGAUAUCUGGAGGAACACCGGUGGCGAAGGCGGCGUUCUGGACUGUAACUGACACUG